AAGGGAAUAACUGGUGUCUGAAUGGAUAGCAAUAUUAGGCAUAAGACAGAGAAAUAAAAGACUCUUUAUUAUCUGCACCGUUCUUUUAAAGCAAUUUAAAGUCCUCAGCCAUUCUGGCAUUUUUUGACUAAGUAUGCUCAGAAUCUACAGUACUGCCCUUGUAGUUUUUCCAUCAGCUUAACAAGUUAUAUAGCUUGCACAACAGCUGAUUAUCUUCUAGUUGCAUACCAUCAGUUAUAAUCCAAUAAUAGUGUUUCACAUUCCAGAAGGUAUCGCUUAUAUCCUCUUCUGUUGGAGGAAAGAACAAAUAUAAAAUACAGAAAAGUCACCAAAAUAGUAGCAGACUAUAUCUUCUGGUAAUAAACCUGAAAGUCUGAGGAGAAAAGAUUAGAUCAAAAGGACCAGGAGACCAAACCACUCUUUCCCCUUUCUCUAGGGUGAACUAAUCUCUGCAGGUCAAGGUUCAGCACAGUAGCUCAGCAGGAAGGAGUUGGUGAUGGAGUGAUAAGUCAGGCGGUCAAAGUGUGAGAUCUGAGCCUGCUAAGAAAUAUGUGGUUGUAAAUGCAAACAUCUACUAUCUAUGUGCUCUUCAACAUCAACAACACAAGGCAGUAUUAAAAGUCUUUCCUGUACUUCUCUCUCAGCCAGGUCUGCUUCUGCCUUAUUUUUUUGUGUGAAAAGAAUUAACCAUUUCUAAAGAAUAUACUACCAGAAAAAAGCUUCCUCAUUCUCUUAGAGGUAUCUGAGCAAUGCUGGGACUUUGCCAUAGGAUCACAUGAUGAACUCAACAAACCCUGGUCACACAAGAAAAUCCAGAGACUUUAAUUAACAGAAAACAAAUGCCAUGAAAUUCCACAUUUUUCUAGUGCCUUCUGAAUUCCCUUCAAAAGAAUGAGAAGAUGGCAGAAAAAUUUAUUUAUUUUUACUAGACACAUGAGAAGACAAGUCUGGAGCUAAGAAGUCAGUCUAAGAUCAGGUUUGGGACCCUAAAAGCCUAAGCAAGGCAAAUAUAUGAAAAUGAAGAUAUGAAGCAGAGCAAAGCUCUGUAAACAGAGGCUGGUACAGACUAAUACUCUUAUAAAUACUGUGACAUUUAUUCUGUAUUGAAUAACUUAUUUAUUUUAUUUAGUCCUGUUUCAGAGCUUCAUUGGAAGAUUGUCAUGAUGGGCAAAAGUGAGAAGAUUAUAAACUGUGGCCAAAGAAGGGGAAAUAAAAAGGUUGCUGUAAUACCAAUAAAAGUGAAUUACAUAUUUUGCAUGUGAUCUGAUGGGAAAUAUUUGAUAGAAACAUCACCAAUAGGCAGAAAUUUGUGAGUUUGGAUGUGAAAAUAUGUCAUAAUACAUUCAUGAAGGUGAAACACCUCCCACACAGUUGGAGUAGGAUUAAUUAUGCCUUUCAAAGCAGAACAAUCCCUUAUGGGCUGCCAGACAUUUAACAGACUAUUGUCAGAGUCAGUUCUACAACUGCCUACUUUUGCUGAGGUAUUACAAAAUAAGACAUCAGCUAGGCAACAGAUAUCUGCAGUGCCAAGGCUAGAAAGGACAAUAAUAAGCAGAGAUAUGACACAGAAGCACAAUUGUGACUCCCAGAAUCAAAAGAGUGGAAAAACUGAGUCUCACACUUCCAAGCACGAACAUCUUAUAGAGUAGCCACAAUAGUACUCCCUUCCCCUAGCUCUCUGCCCUAUCCCUUUCUUGCAUUUUUUUUUUUAAAUCCCUUCUGCAUGGAUGGCUCAGAUGCCUGUGCAAAACAAUUUAGGCAAUAAAACUGAUAGUUUUGUUUCCUUAGGUAUCCUGAAAUUUGUUCCAGCGUACCAUUAUGAACCCAUCUGCAAAAGACAAUGGCAAUGAAGCAGAACUUUACCCAACCUAGGAAAAGGAUUUAUUGUGAGAGGGUCAGGACUAAGGAGUUCCAACCACUCAAAAGCAAGCUGGUCCCUCUCUGGAGAGUUUUCAGGAUGUGCUGAGCAGAUGAACGUCAAGGGAAGCAACGGCAUGGAGGAAAAACUUCAACAUAUGGCAAAAGACAUCUUGCUUUACAAAGAAGGAAUUGAAAGAUUCAAAAUUAAAACUAAACGGAGGUGACAUACACUGUGGAUCUUGCAUGUCAUCCUGCCUAGACUUCGGAGGAGGCUCUGCACUGAUUCAUGCCUCACCAACCUUCAUUUGUGCCAUGUCUUGCAACACACAGUGUGAUGGAGGCCUGUAGUGCACCUAAAAAAAUGGAGCAUGUGCCUGCAGAACCAAUGAAAUACAUCAAAUUGAGGUAAUUAUACCUAUUCCAGACCUCAGAAAAUGUAGGCACUGUUGGGUGGGAAAUGCUGUGCCUAGAAGAAAAGGUUGGGUGUUUUCUUAGGUUAACCUAAAGCCCUUGAUCUGUUUUGAGACAUGGAACAUGACUUGGGGAGAUUAGCUGGAGGACAUAUUUAGACAACAGUGCUAAGAGUCUUAACAAUGCCAGGUUAGCAGAGCUGGGUGACAUUUACAGCUCCACCCAUCUAUGCAUCGAGUUCUCUCUUUCGGCAGUCAUGAAAGAACAUUCAUCAUACAAUGCUUCUUACUCUUCUAGAAAUUCAUACAGAUGACAACUUACAGAAGUUUGCAAUAGAAAAAUGAUUUCACAGUUUAACAGGCAUCAUAUAAUGUAAAUAUUCUGUUUUAAAAGAAUAAGCAAUGUGAUUAAGCAGAAAUAAAGGUGGUAUUUGAGUCUGUAAUGAAGAGUAGAGAGAUUUUAUUAGCUCUUUCAUCCAAAAUUAUCAAGGACAGAGAUGAAACUGAGGGAUGAAAUAUUAGAGUCACCUUUUGCUUAAGUUGAAAUCCCUCACCAUAAACAAGUUGUGUACAGGUGGCAGAUUUAUAAAGCAAAAUUAUUUUUAGAAAAGUAAAUUUAAUAAAGAAAAUAUGUUAAUUGAGUUGUUUGAAAAGUGUGCAAUGGCUCAUUUAGCAAUAUAAAAUCUCGAGUACAUACAUACACAUGCAAUUUUAUUUGUCCAGGUACAGAAUGAAUUGCCUUCCUUAUGAAGAAAAUAAUAUUCUUAAGAGGAAAAUAAAUUAUGAAAUAUAGAAUGAAGCAAAAGCUGAUAGACGAUUAAAUAAAAAAUAUUUUUGUGUAUCCUUUAUAUGAAUUCAAAUCAGUAUUUCUUUUCAAUGUAAUGUCACAUCAAGCCAUAAAGAAGAGGGCAUGGGUAGUAGUUAGUUUAGAAUUUUUACUUAGCAUUUUUUUAUCCCACAGACAAAUUCUGAGUUUAUUCUUUCAGACUUUACAUGAAGGACAACAAAAUCUAACCUUGAGCAAUGCCCCAUUCCUUAUGCUUUUGUUCUGUCUUUCACUCUGUUAUGUACUCAGCAACAAAGGUAGGGGGUUUGUUUAUUUUGUUUUGUGUUGUUUUUGGGUUUUGUAGGGGUUUUGUUUAUUGGUUUUUGUUGGGUUUUUUUUUAAGUUUUUUUUUAUCUGGGGAUAAAGAGUCCGUAGGAAACAGAUGUCUUUCCUUUCUGUGAGAUGGAAAUAAAGGUGACUAUAUGAUUAUGUAACCCCUUUCAGUUUGUUUGAGUUAAAAGCCAGUAGAGGGGACCUGUCUUUCUGUGUUUCCCUUUGCUCCCUGCUAUGGAAGGAUAGAAGGAGACAUUGUAAGUCAGGAAUUGCUAACACUGUAGACCUUUAACAGACUGUAGCACACACUGAAUAGCACCACACAGCACCCUGCCCAGAAAACAGCUGUACACGCUGCUUCAGUGAGAGGGUAAAACUGUAAGGCUGUGUUUUCAGCAACUAAAGGUAUCUUCUGCCUUAACAAUAGAGCCAGUGUAUUGAAAUUUCCUCAUGCCAUUCACAAGGAAUUGCAACAGCAUGGAAUCCACCAUGCCAGAGCAUGUUACAUGCCACU